GUUCAGCCACUAUGUAACCAUUGAUGUCUACAAAAGAGACUGCCAUCCACUUUGUCAGGCAACAUGGAGCAGUCAGCAUUGAAGAUGGAAGGAUUCCAAAAGCUUUGGUGAAAAAUGGAAAAAAGGCGUUCUGAUUUUGAAAUCCUCCCAAUGGCUUAUGUUCCAGCUACCAAGGCAAUUUUUGCUAAAUUUGGUGGGGAAGCAGAAUUAUGAAUGGCUGUCAAUAAAGCUGAUGAGGGUGCCGCUGGCUAGGCAGCAUUUAUUACCCAUCCCUAAU